rnacentral:misc_RNA from 1 species
GAUGAAGAACGUAGCGAAAUGCGAUAAGUAAUGUGAAUUGCAGAAUUCAGUGAAUCAUCGAGUCUUUGAACGCACAUUGCGCCCCCUGGUAUUCCGGGGGGCAUGCCUGUCCGAGCGUCAUUGCUGCCCUCAAGCACGGCUUGUGUGUUGGGCCCCCGUCCCCGGUUUCCCCCGGGGACGGGCCCGAAAGGCAGCGGCGGCACCGCGUCCGGUCCUCGAGCGUAUGGGGCUUUGUCACCCGCUCUGUAGGCCCGGCCGGCGCCAGCCGACACCCAACUUUAUUUCUAAGGUUGACCUCGGAUCAGGUAGGGAUACCCGUUGAACUUAAGCAUAUCAAUAAGCGGAGGA